CAGUAGCGUAUAUUAAAGUUGUUGCAGUUAAAAUGCUCGUAGUUGAAGUUCGGAUGCAGCAGAGCUUGGAAACGCUGUUAUGGUGCUUCCGUUGCUUUUGCUUGUCCACAGUGCGUUGCAAGUACGUAUGUGCUUGUGCGUGCAUUUUACUUUGAGAAACAUAGGGUGUUCCACGCAUGUUACGGCAUGAAUAUUCCAGCAUGGGAUAAUCUGGUACGACUUCCAAUCUGCCAUUUUGGUUCGUAGGUUGGAAGUAAUGAUUAAUAGGGACUGUCGGGGGCAUUUGUAUUUGACUGUCAGAGGUGAAAUUCUUAGAUUCGUUGAGGACCAACCACUGCGAAAGCAUUUGUCAAGGAUGUCUCCAUUAA
rnacentral:rRNA from 1 species